CAGUCGCCGCGGUAAUACGUAGGUGGCAAGCGCUGUCCGGAAUUAUUGGGCGUAAAGGGCUCGCAGGCGGUUUCUUAAGUCUGAUGUGAAAGCCCCCGGCUCAACCGGGGAGGGUCAUUGGAAACUGGGAAACUUGAGUGCAGAAGAGGAGAGUGGAAUUCCACGUGUAGCGGUGAAAUGCGCAGAGAUGUGGAGGAACACCAGUGGCGAAGGCGACUCUCUGGUCUGUAACUGACGCUGAGGAGCGAAAGCGUGGGGAGCGAACAGGAUUAGAUACCCCAGUAGUCCCUGUCUCUUAUAC
rnacentral:rRNA from 1 species